UUUCCCCUGCGGUGCUCGUGUAGGGCCAUAGAGUCAUUGACCAACAUCGUGUACUCUGGACGCCGACUCAAGUAGCUGCUGUGUGCGCCUCCGACAUGGAAGCGCCUAAUGGGCUCGGAAGGCGACCAACCUUGAACCGUUGGUUCAAGAUUCAGGCCUGACGGCACAGGCGGGGGUCCC
rnacentral:other from 2 species